AGUUAAAUUUUCAUUCAUUUCUACCAUUAAAACUGGCUUGGCUGACAGCAUGACCUGACAGUUACACAUGCCGUGCCACAUGUAUCUCAUUUUGACAUAUAGGGAUCAAUUUUUAACAUUAAAAAUAGAUGGAACUUUUAACA
rfam:Gossypium arboreum cultivar AKA8401 contig_626_5, whole genome shotgun sequence.